GACCUGGUCGGGUGGUCCGCCUAACGGUGUGUACUGCUUGACUGGGCCUUACCUCUUGGUGAGCCGGCGUGCCCUUUAUUGGUGUGCGCCGGGGAACCAGGACUUUUACCUUGAGAAAAUUAGAGUGUUCAAAGCAGGCCUAUGCCCGAAUACAUUAGCAUGGAAUAAUAAUUUAGGACUUUGCUCCUAUUUUAUUGGUUUCUAGGGGUGAAGUA
rnacentral:rRNA from 1 species